GAGGAUCGGAUACAAGGAUUCAUCACAUGCACCUACAUAAAUUACUGAUGAUAAGGUUCAACGAGUUGAGGAUAUUGGAUCUUUUAAAUGAGAAAAACAAUGCAAAUCUUUUCUUUUUACUAGUCUUUUUAUUUAUUUUCUACUUUCUAAUUUCUAAUUUUUGGAGAUCGAUUAUAACAUUUUUUUUUUAUUAUUUGAAAUAGUUAGCUAGAUAGAAAAUGCCCAAAAAAUUAGACCUUUUUUUUUUGACUAAAGGCUUUCAUAUAUUAAAAUGCAGAAAGAAAGAAAAAAUGUUACAAGCCUAAUGGCUACAGUCAAUCCGAGCCCAAUUGUUUUCUUGCCAGUUAUAUAAAACCCAAUAAGAAACCCAUAAGUGAAGAACAAACAGAACUGAUGUCAAGCCCACCACGCGAGGCCCAGUAAAUGGAGAAACUGAGGAAUCCGAUCAAGAGGACAGGGAUUAUACCCACAUUUUCAUGAGCCGGGAGGAGUUGAUCGGAUUAGAUUGGCGCAUGGAUAGUAUCUUGUUUUUUAUCUGUCGAUCUAGUAGGCGAAACAGAGAUUCUACAUUCCUGAAUUGCCGCCGGUGUAGUCGAUUGUUUCUCUCAUUCCAAAACCAAUAUAUUGCAGCCUGCCAUCCGAUGUAAGUAAGUCUCUUCCUGAUCCUAUUUCCCUGUAGUUGUUGCAAUUGCAGAAUCAAACUGUUCCAGUCCCUUUCAAGUAUUAGCCCACACUUAACUGCGAUGAUUUGCCAUAGAUCCCAAGUGUAACGACAUUGGAAGAAGAGGUGAUCCCGUGAUUCAGCCGCUAUAUUGCAGAGUAGACAAGCUGAAUCCGUCUGAAGCCCCCAACUUAGUAAGCGAUCUCUAGUCGGACAUCGGUUAAGGACAAACAACCAAGUUAAGAAACUAUGCUUCGGUAUCCCAGCAUUGAUCCAAACAAUUUUGGCCCAAGGUACUGCUUCCUCUUCCUCAUUUCUCAGUUUCCUAUACACCUCUCCUAUUGAAUAUCGCUUUGAGCUGGCAUCAUUUAAUACCCAUUCAUAGUGAUCAUCUUCAUCCACCAGAGAUAUAGUUUGAGGUGUAUCUGCACUUGAAGUAUCUGCUCAGUCCGUGCUGGUGGUAGGAGCCAAUGCCCAUCAAAAAAUUAGACCUUUCUAACCAUUUUUUUUCUUUAAAAGGAUACCAUUCUCAUUUUUGUUUAAGAUGAGAUAUUCU
rnacentral:lncRNA from 1 species